rnacentral:rRNA from 1 species
CUUGCACUUAGUAUUAUUUUUAGUGGGCAAAACGGGUGAGUAAUACAUGGGAAUCUACCUUGCAGUACGGAAUAACUAUUGGAAACAAGAGCUAAUACCGUAUAUUGCCGAGAAGGUGAAAGAUUUAUCGCUACAAGAUGAGCCCAUGCAAGAUUAGCUAGUUGGUGAGGUAAAUGCUUACCAAGGCUACGAUCUUUAGCUGGUCUGAGAGGAUGAUCAGCCACACUGGAACUGAGACACGGUCCAG